rnacentral:rRNA from 1 species
ACACGACUACAUUAGAUACCCCCGUAGUCCCAGCCCUAAACGAUGCGCGUUAGGUGUAUCGGUGACCACGAGUCACCGAGGUGCCGAAGGGAAACCGUGAAACGUGCCGCCUGGGAAGUACGGUCGCAAGGCUGAAACUUAAAGGAAUUGGCCGGGGGAGCACCACAACGGGUGGAGCCUGCGGUUUAAUUGGACUCAACGCCGGGAAGCUCACCGGAUAAGACAGCGGAAUGAUUGCCGGGCUGAAUACCCUGCAUGACCAGCUG